GCAGUGCAGCUCUCCCUCCUGCCUGCUCCAUCUGUGGCAAUCCCACCCAGAGGAGAUGUUGCAAGCCAUCUCUGAUUAACACAGGGCUAUAUAACCCUGUUUGCCAAAGCAAGACUAAGAGAGAAGGGAGACACAGACCUUGAGACCUCAGAAGCAGAGCCAGGGAGGACACAGAGGCAGAGCCAGUGGGACAGCAAUGCCAGCCUCUGGGAAUGUGAGGAGAGGAGGAGGAUGCUGCCUUCCCAAGAGGAAGGCUCCUGCCCCACCUGAGGACUCGUGGCUGCACAGCAGGAAACUCUACCACAGCAGAGAAGGCUCAAAUCAAUUCUGGUGGGAAGCAGCACCCUGUGCUGCCCAGAAAGCAAAGUCCAGUAUUGAAGCUGAUCCAUUUAGUGCCAAAGAGGUCACAAAUUGGAGCAUCUUCACUGCCCAUGUGGAUGGUUGGUGACAACUUCAAACCUGGCAUAUGUAGAAAGGACAACACUGCAUUUCUAAGACCCUAUGGCUGAAAUAUGAAAAUAUUAUACUCCAGAUAGGAGCAGUUGUGGCUGAGAUGAACAGUUCUCAUCAAUCCAGUGUGAAAAUAAACAUUAUGCACAAUGAUCAACCCUCAGCUGAGUGGAGGCUGGGAGGUCUGUACUGGU